rnacentral:sRNA from 1 species
AAGACUAUACUUUCAGGGAUCAUUUCUAUAGUAUGUUACUAAAGUAAAUGCAGGAAAAUGUUAGAUUUAACA